CUUCAAAUUGUGUGUAAAAUUUAUUCAUUUAAUUUCGUUUCGUUGUUUGUCGCAGACAUAUAAUUGAAACGAUUCGAGAUAUCUGGGGAUUUUUAAGGGAUUACAUCAUUAAACUGGACAGAAACGUCAUGAAUCCAUGAUAUGAAUGAGGCUUCAAACAUAUCGUAUGGUCCUUUGGAUUUCCUGAAUACAUUUCAUCACAUUUAAGUAGGAAAAAACGAAUGGGCCAACCUUGGUACAAGCACGGCCGCCGAGCUGCCGUAGCUCGGCACCCGGGCUCCAGCCAAACUCGCGCCGAACUUGGCUAGACCCUGGGAUGAUAACACGGGGCCAGGCCUGGGACCGAACUUUGGCCAGACUUCGGUCGCCGUACUUUGGCCGCACUCUGGGCUUACCAUUCGGCCCGAAAUUGGCCCAGGCCUGUUGCCGAACUUUGGCCGCACUCUGGGCUUACCAUUCGGCCCGAAAUU